UCUUGUGCGCGCCGCCUCAGGUGAGGAGUCAGCAGCCAAGAGACUGCGCCCGCCCCGCUUGCCUUUUUUUCUGGAGCGGCUUCUCAUUUUUUUUUUUUACUUCUGUUUGUUGCCGCUUUGCUGUGGCACGCCCCGCCGCACACACCGCGGCUUGCACCCUGACGCAGUGCUUCAAGACCCAAAGUAGCUCCCGCCUCCUCCCCCCGACACUCGCUCCGCUGCGUGUAAAUACGCAUACAAGUUGUAAAACAGAGAGCGAGUAAGAGACUGCGCAUGAGUGGCGGGCGCGCGCAGAGCGCUCGCGCCCACCAUGUUCACCUUCUCUUGCCAGUGCCAGAGUUGCCGAGGCAACCUUGUCGCGACGGAGAAGGAGUUCUACUUCACCUCAUCUCUUUUUCGAAUCGAUCUGGCCUGGGACAAUGUGAAGCGUAUUCGCCUCGAAACGCAGCAGGUGAAAGGGGUGCCAACGAGCGUGCUUGUGGUGGUGCUGCAGCACAACGAGGCCAUCAAGAUGCAGGCAAGCAGCCCCUCCGCGCAGAAGAAGCGCCUCUUGUCCUCUCGCAAGUACUUCUUCUACGACUUUCACGACCUCCUCGGAGCGGAGGAGCAGAUCAAGCAUCUCCUCGAGCAGUACCGAACGUCCGAAAAGUCCAAGAAGUAUGAGGCGCGGGAUGACUCAGAGAAGGGAUCCUCGUCCACGACAAAGCAGCAGACCGACAAGCCUGGCGAGAAAGACGAAGUGAGCACCUCGAUCUCGGGCGCGCCGAAGGAUGAAAGUCUGAACAACUCCCGCACAACCACCAACCGCAAUCCGGACUCUGACGCACGGCGGGCGGCGCUCGGGCUGCCCUUAGCAGGUCGGCGCGCGCCGCCAUGGAACGCAUUACGGCCCAAGCUUUCCGGCAAGCUCGUCAGCAUCCCUGUCGCAAGUGCCUCAAAAGUCAAAUCGGGCAAGUACGCGCAACUCUUUCUCAAGUUUUACCGGCACGUUGCUACCGUGCUGAUCGUUGUCAUGCUUGCUCUGCUCACUCAACAUUACGCCCACUUUGUUGACCUGCACGCGCAGAAUCCCUUGCAGAGAGCGGAGAAACUGCUGCGCGACAUCCACGCCCUGUCAGACGUCAACACUAGGCUGGAGUCGUACGACAGUCACGAGACUCUGUGGCAGUACAACAAGAGACGGAAGGACCUGGCGGAGGAGAGUCGCACCUUCACGCAUCAGCUCGAGCAGGCGGCGGUCGAGCUGAUGGGCCGUUACGUCGCGCUGCAGGCCAAGAUGGCCACCUUGCGUGGCCACCGUGCCCAGCGCGUCGCGCGUGAAGAGCAGAGCGGCACGCCGUCCCCACCGCCACCGCCCACCAUGUCGUCCGUCUUCGGCACGCCAAUGACGGCCGCCGACAGGGCGCGGCUCUUCUCGCAGCGUGGAGAAGCAUGCCAGGCGCGCGUAGGCAACCGCGGCGCCGCCAAAACCGGCGCAGGCCAAUGCGGCGGCAGCGGCGCGGCCUCUAAAAAGGCCGCGAAGCGUCGGGCUGCUCCGCUCAAGAGCAUGUCCCUGUCGCGCCUCAAGUCGGAUGUGCAGCGCUGGGUUCGCCGGGCACAAUCUGCGUGGCAUUAUGCGAUCAGCUUCAUAUUCGAACUGCCAGUGAGACCGUCGACGCGCCCCGCGCCCUCGGCGGGCGAGCAUCACGGCUCCGCCGGAGAAGCGGCAUGGGCGGUCUACACAGAGAAGAUGGGCGAGUACUUCCGGCUUACGGAGUGGGUGUCGGCUGCCGAGUACGAAGACCGACUCAGCUGCCUGCAGCUGACUCAAGAGCUGCUGGAGACGGUGGAGAUGACAGAGCGCGUCUUUGCCACCUUCAGCAAGGUGUUCCUCAUGGACCGGUACCGUAAGCUGGAGUCGGGAGAGGAGCGCGCCUCGCACUGGAUGCAGCCUCCACAGGCACUCCGCACUGUCACUGGCGGCAACAAGUACUACGCGGCCAACGCGUUCUCGAGUGAGGAGGUGGCGCACGUGGCGAUGCUACGCCGCUUUGUGGGCAGUCUCGUGCACAGCGAGCCCUUGGAGGCGGAUCAAGGUCGCCGUCGCCGUAUGGCUUUGCGGGUGGCCGACGCAAUGCUGAGCUACCGCGAAGAUGAAGUGCAACUUCUGCGCGCGCGCAAUCAGGGCAGACCUGUCAACGCCACGGAGCUGUGGCGAUUGCUGGAGGAGAAGGUGCUGCGGCCCGCCACGAUGCCGCUGCGCGAGAACCCCGACGUCGACAACUCCACCGUGUACCUCCGCAACCCGAUAGCGGAGCUGCGGUUUUGGCACACGCACGAAGCUGCCUGGCGUGAACACGUACUCUCGUUCUUUUCACCUGAAGAGCAGGCGGAGAUUCGAAGCAGCCUGGAUACUGACGACCGGAGCCAUCAAAGCCUCGUAGACCUAACGACUCCACCCGUAGAUCUCCAGUGGGUGAAGCUGCCGCUGUUCCGCGGUCUCCUCUGCUUCGAAGGAAUAUCGCACCUGCAAGGUGGCGCCAGCGAGGGUGCUGACGGCGCCGCAGGCGACCUCGUACACGCAUCGGACGACGAGGAAAACGAGAACGCCGACGAGACGGCGAACGACAUCGGCGAAGGCGACACGGAGGAGUCGCGCUCGGAUGCCUCCGCCGGCCGUGCCAGCACUCCGUCCCCCACGCCGGUGAUCUCCGCUUACUUGUUGCCAGCAUCACCAACGCACAGCAAAGCAUCCACCGCGAAAAAAAUGACACCGUCAAACCGCACCAACACUGCUACUUCGAGAUCUUCAAAGACCCCCAAAACGCCACCGGACAUGGCGGCUUCGCCACAUGCGCAGAACUUGAGGGCUGAAGACCUAUGGAAAGAAGUGAAACUCCGUUGGAUGGAUGACCUGAACGUCUUUCGGCUAGCCUUUGACGCGGACUCGGCGGGCCGCAGCGCUCAUGCCGCUCGCUCGCACUGCACGGACAAUGAUGAGCGCGGUGCCGUCGCUGAUGCCGCCGAAGUGCACUGUCGACUCUUUGGGAUCGUUUCCCUGAUCAACGAAUUUUAUGUGCGAUACAUGACACCAACGGUGCUGCAGCGCUUUGCCGCCUUCCUGCGAGCGCUUUUUCCGCCGUACUUCCAGUCCCACAGUGGUAGGGAGGUGUACAUUUCUGCCCUGCGGAGCUGGGGCACACAGGACCCCGCCGUGCAGCUUGCCAUCUCUCAGGUCACAGGCUUUGCUCCUGGCACAACUAGCGAUGUCUCGCGCUCUCUCCUCUACAUCGUCUUGCAGCCCCCACCUCUCUUGCAGACGAGCAUCGUCUCCACCCGCCAGGCGACCAUUGCCGUGAUGGUACUGGUCCUGUUUGGGGGAGUGUUGACCGCUCUCUACAUGAUGCAGUAGCGGGUGCAUCCACUGCAUAGCAUCGCGUACCGGUCUGCGUGUGCGUGCUAUUCUCCAUACUCGACGCUGCUUGCCUGCUGAUGCGCAUGUAUACAUUUCCGUCGUUCUUUUAUUUUGUCGUCUGACACAGCCUGAGAAGCACUGCCGACGUGCGCACGCAGGUGUUUCUUCAUAGCUUUCUCAGCUCGUGUAGGCGGCACGCGCGUCACUCCUUUUUUUCUGUGAAUCCUCUCUACUCGUCGCACUCUCUCCGAGCUGUGCUCGAGUAGCUCCCCUGUCCCCUCAAGAGCGCUGCCUGCGCUCGUGUCUGUUCUUCCCACCCUCUUUUCUCACCUUUUUUUCACGGCAGGCUGGGGUGGUGCGCGGUUUUUAUUGUUUUCCUUCCGUUUUUCGUGUGCGAUCACUGCUUUCGCGUUGGCGGUGGCCGGCUGACGUUGUCACACGUGACGUAGUCCUUUACGCUGCCCAUUUCUUUAUUUUUUUGUUGCUCUUCAACGCAUUCGUUUCUCUGCCACUCCAACACAAGGCAAGCUCCGCUCCACCCACGGCCUGUCACAGUCCCACCCCGCGUCGCGCGAAGAAGCGGCAGGCACGCGGUGCAGCAGUGCUGCCGACUCAGCUAUCUGAGCACGGCCAUCUGCCCUCGAGCUCUACCCCACCCACCCGCCGCCUCGCCGGCCGCCAGCUGGUGCCUCCCUCCCUUCUCGGAAUGGGCGCGGGCGCCGCUGCCCCCGCCCUCCCCCCCCCCCGCACACCAGUGGGCGGUGUAGGGGCCCGGGCGGGUUACUCUCGAGACGCGGUGACACGCUGCCGAAUCAUAUGGAUGGCACACGCGUGUUCACUGUCGCCGGUCGCCCCGACGCAACGCCCGGCCAGGACCCGACCAACUACAUCAGCAGCGAUACGUCGCCCGGACCUCCAGCACGGCACCGGCGCCGGCGACCCUGUCACCACCACAGGUGGUUCGGCACUUGGCCAGCGAUAGGGUGGCCUCCCGGCUUCUCCAGAGAGAGAGAGGGCGGGGGUACUGGGCCCUGCGACACCGCGCAUGGGUGCCUCUUCACCCUCUCUCUUGCCGUGGAGGACUGCAAUGAGAAGAAAAUGUUAACAUGCAGUGCAAUAUCUGUGCACUUCUGUAGGAAAUAGCCACGUGUCAGCGACGGAAGCUGAGCUUGCCGUUUCUCCGCUUCCCCAGAG
rnacentral:misc_RNA from 1 species